GGAGUGCAAAAUCCUGCAUCAGCCUCCUCGUGGCGCAUUCUGGGGUUGUUGAAUUUUAAAUAUUCAACUAGCUAAUGGUGUAGG
rfam:Trachymyrmex cornetzi contig52800, whole genome shotgun sequence.